ensembl:miRNA mdo-mir-7246 mdo-mir-7246
UAUCCAACCUUAUUUCCCACUACGUGUAAUAGAAGAGUGAUGGAAACUAAGGUUGGAUAGG